CGGAAGCACGUGUCGGAUACGUCACAGUUGGAAAACAAAAACAAAUCGCCGUCCUGCUCCAUCUCUGUUGUUGUUGUUGUGUGACAGUUUGUCGCGUGUAUUGCUUUAAACCCGCUGCGUGUCGUCUCGAGUCUACGUGUUCAUGGUCGUCCUGAAGCUGUAGUUUACCGGUAACUUCACGGUAACGGGAGUUUAGCAGCCAUGGCUCAGCAGAGAGGAGUCAACAGCCUGCAGUUCAACCAGGACCAGAGCUGUUUCUGCUGUGCUAUGGAGACGGGGGUCCGGAUUUAUAACGUGGAGCCCCUGAUGGAGAAAGGCC